AAUAAGUACAGUUUUACUAUGGCGUUUGACCGUUCGUUUUAUUUGAAAAAUUCUUAAUUUGUAUUUUUAUUGUUAUUAGAUAAUAAAAUAUAAAUAUUAUUUUUUUAAAAAAAUUAUAAUUCUUUUUCAAAUAAAACAUACAGUUAAAUGCUGGACGCGGAUAUCCACGGUUACCCAUAUU
rnacentral:pre_miRNA from 1 species